CCUACGGGGGGCAGCAGUGAGGAAUAUUGGUCAAUGGACGAGAGUCUGAACCAGCCAAGUAGCGUGAAGGAUGACUGCCCUAUGGGUUGUAAACUUCUUUUAUAUGGGGAUAAAACGUUCCACGUGUGGGAUUUUGUAUGUACCAUAUGAAUAAGGAUCGGCUAACUCCGUGCCAGCAGCCGCGGUAAUACGGAGGAUCCGAGCGUUAUCCGGAUUUAUUGGGUUUAAAGGGAGCGUAGGUGGAUUGUUAAGUCAGUUGUGAAAGUUUGCGGCUCAACCGUAAAAUUGCAGUUGAAACUGGCAGUCUUGAGUACAGUAGAGGUGGGCGGAAUUCGUGGUGUAGCGGUGAAAUGCUUAGAUAUCACGAAGAACUCCGAUUGCGAAGGCAGUUCACUGGACUGCAACUGACACUGAGGCUCGAAAGUGCGGGUAUCAAACAGGAUUAGAUACCCGAGUAGUC
rnacentral:rRNA from 1 species